GUCCACGCCCUAAACGAUGUCAACUGGUUGUUGGGAAUUUGUUUCUCAGUAACGAAGCUAACGCGUGAAGUUGACCGCCUGGGGAGUACGGCCGCAAGGUUGAACUCAAAGGAAUUGACGGGGACCCGCACAAGCGGUGGAUGAUGUGGUUUAAUUCGAUGCAACGCGAAAACCUUACCCACCUUUGACAUGUACGGAAUCCUUUAGAGAUAGAGGAGUGCUCGAAAGAGAGCCGUAACACAGGUGCUGCAUGGCUGUCGU
rnacentral:rRNA from 1 species